rnacentral:rRNA from 1 species
GAGGACCUCUGGCGGCGUGCUUAACACAUGCAAGUCGAGCGAAGCGAUUUAAGUGAAGUUUUCGGAUGGAUCUUAAAUUGACUGAGCGGCGGACGGGUGAGUAACGCGUGGAUAACCUGCCUCACACGGGGGGAUAACAGUUAGAAAUGACUGCUAAUACCGCAUAAGCGCACGGUACCGCAUGGUACAGUGUGAAAAACUCCGGUGGUGUGAGAUGGAUCCGCGUCUGAUUAGGUAGUUGGUGAGGUAACGGCCCACCAAGCCGACGAUCAGUAGCCGACCUGAGAGGGUGACCGGCCACAUUGGGACUGAGACACGGCCCAAACUCCUACGGGAGGCAGCAGUGGGGAAUAUUGCACAAUGGGCGAAAGCCUGAUGCAGCAACGCCGCGUGAGUGAAGAAGUAUCUCGGUAUGUAAAGCUCUAUCAGCAGGGAAGAAAAUGACGGUACCUGACUAAGAAGCCCCGGCUAACUACGUGCCAGCAGCCGCGGUAAUACGUAGGGGGCAAGCGUUAUCCGGAUUUACUGGGUGUAAAGGGAGCGCAGACGGCACUGCAAGUCUGAAGUGAAAGCCCGGGGCUCAACCCCGGGACUGCUUUGGAAACUGUAGAGCUAGAGUGCUGGAGAGGCAAGCGGAAUUCCUAGUGUAGCGGUGAAAUACGUAGAUAUUAGGAAGAACACCAGUGGCGAAGGCGGCUUGCUGGACAGUAACUGACGUUCAGGCUCGAAAGCGUGGGGAGCAAACAGGAUUAGAUACCCUGGUAGUCCACGCCGUAAACGAU